AGAGUUUGAUCAUGGCUCAGAAUCAACGCUGGCGGCGCGCCUAACACAUGCAAGUCGAACGAGAAAGCCGGAGCAAUCUGGUGAGUAAAGUGGCGUACGGGUGAGUAACACGUGGAUCAUCUACCUUUUGGUGAGGAAUAACGCUGGGAAACCGGCGCUAAUACCGCAUAAGCUCGAGAGAGGAAAGCAGCAAUGCGCCGAAAGAGGAGUCCGCGGCCGAUUAGCUAGUUGGCAGGGUAAAAGCCUACCAAGGCGAAGAUCGGUAGCCGGCCUGAGAGGGCACACGGCCACACUGGCACUGAAACACGGGCCAGACUCCUACGGGAGGCAGCAGUGGGGAAUAUUGCACAAUGGGGGAAACCCUGAUGCAGCGACGCCGCGUGAGCGAUGAAGCCCUUUGGGGUGUAAAGCUCUUUCGGCAGGGAAGAUUAUGACGGUACCUGCAGAAGCAGCUGCGGCUAACUACGUGCCAGCAGCCGCGG
rnacentral:rRNA from 1 species